ACCACUACUACCACUACUACUACUACUACUACUAAUACUGCCCAGGUAAAGACUAGACACACCUCACCACCACCACUACUACUACUACUACCCAGGUAAAGACUAGACACACCUCACCACCACCACUACUACUACUACUUCUACUGCCCAGGUAAAGACUAGAACACACCUCACCACCACCACUACUACUACUACUACUACUACUACUGCUACCCAGGUAAAGACUAGAACACACCUCACCACCACUACUACUACUACUACUACUACUACUACUGCUACUACCCAGGUAAAGACUAGAACACACCUCACCACUACUAGUACUACUACUACUACUACUACCCAGGUAAAGACUACAACACACCUCACCACCACCACUACUACAACCACCACCACUACUACUACUACUACUACUACUACUGCCCAGGUAAAGACUAGACACACCUCA
ensembl:lncRNA